GAACGAAUCAAGGAUCCACGACCAGCAGCAUGUCCAUUCGAUUAGAGGAUUCUAGGUUAAUGUCUCUCUUUAGAUUUUUCUGCUACGCAUCAGCCUAGGUUUUCACCGGUUUCCUGAUGGUCUUGGAACAUGAGGACGUGAGGUACCAAUGGGGAAGAAGACUUGGGAGAGAGAGUCAUGAUGUAUUCUGGGGCUACAAGAACAAGUUCUGUAGAAGACUUGGGCCAAAUCUCACUAUGGAAAAGGAUCAAUGGGUUGCAGAGAAGAAGGAAAAGGAUCAAUGGAAGGGUCUAAUUUUAUGGAA